UGCCUAAUUUCCCCACACUAGAUGGCAAUUUGCUAGGACAGAGCUGCAGGGUAGGGGGAUCAUGAAAAGGUAAAUGGAUCAGAAGUGAGGGCCCAGGGAAGACACCAACCCCUAGAGAUCCGGUGAAGAAGAAGGGAAUUGUGUGUAUUGAGAGAGGGUAUAGAAGUGAGGGAGGAUUAGGGAACACAGUUGUGCGGGUGAGUGCUUUCAAUACAGAGCCAGGGCAGGAAAACCUUCAUCCUGAGACUACAAUUCAAGGACAUACUCCCGUGAGAAAACUGGCAAGAAAGAGACCGUGGUUUGGUGACAAAAACAAAGACCCAAUUAUCAAAAUUGAGGUAGAAAAUAGAGCAAGGUCAGAGCUGGGUAACAAGAUCAGAUCGGGAGGAACAGUUGCCACAUGGUGCUGAGUCACUGUGACCUGACGCUGAGUCGGCAGAAGAUUGGCCCUCUUGAUUUGUCCCACAGCCUGGGUAGGACAAAGUGUGUGGACGGCAGCAAGAGCAGGAAUCUAAGCUUGACAUUAAAAGGGCAAAAGCUCCAAGAAUCUUGUUCUCAGGGGCUCUCCAGUGAGUAGCAGAAGGCAAACUCCUCACUGUUCUUGCAGUCUAAUAAGAAAUGUGCAGCAAUAACAAAUAUACAAAAAUACUUCUGCUUCACGCUCACCUGAGGAAUGGAUUGAAAAUAGUGUUUCAGCACGCCCAGACGUUCAAUGGGAAUCACUUCUGGAGAUAAAGGAGAGCAAGUCAGCUGGAUUGAGCAGAGAAAGAGACAGAGACAGAGAUCUCCCAUCUGCUGAUUCACUCCCCAAAAGCCCACAUCAGACAGCUGGACCAGACCAGAGCGAGAAGCCAAGAACUCAAUCCAGGUCUCAAGGAGCUGCUGCUGCUGAUUGACAUCAGGAACCACACUGCUUCUGCCAGGAGCUGCACCGCUUCUUGAACAACUUUGCUAAAGCCAUCUUUAAUGCCAUCUCCAAGUCUUGUAGCCACCUGACUUCUGAACUCUGGAAAAAGACAAUAUUCAAUAUUCACCAGGUCUCUCUCCCAAAGAUUUACUAAUCAUAGAGACCCAUGUGACAGUGAACACUUUCUGACUGAUGGAAUGUGGAAAGGAAGAGGGAGGGAGGACUUGAGAAUAACGAUUUCUGGUCUCUAGUUCGGGCUCCUGAAAGGACAUCUGUCUGAGUAAUGAGAGCUAUAUGGCAUGGGGCCGCUUUUCCAGAGAUUAUGAGUAGUUAGCAAUUUGAAUAUAGGGCCCGACGCCGGGGUAUCGUAGGUAAAGCCACUUCCUGCAGUGCUGGUAUCCCAUAUGGGCGCUGAUUCCAGUCAUGGCUGCUCCACUUCUGAUCCAGCUCUCUGCUAAUGCACCUGGGAAAGCAGUGGAAGAUGUCCCAAGUCAUUGGGCCCCUGCAUCCUUGUAGGAGACCCAGAAGAAGCCCCUGGCUCCUAGCUUCAGACUGGCCCAGCUCCGGCCAUUGCAGCCAUAUGGGGAGUGAACCAGCAGAUGGAAGAUCAAUCUCUCUCUCUCUCUCUUUCUCUCUCUCUUUCUCUGUAAUUCUGCCUUUAAAAUAAAUAACUAAAUCUUUUUUUCAAAAAGAUUUUGAAUAUGUUGAAUUUAAGGUGAUUGUAAGAUGUCCACAAAAAUGAUCAAUAUGUCAUUAGAUAAUAUAGGUUUUAAUCUCAAGCAAUAUAUCUAAACUGAACAUAUAGAUUAUUGGCAAGUACAGUGUGAUGUAGGCAUGCAGAUAAGAUGUUAAAUGAAGCUAUGGGAAAGGAAUAGUGAUGAGUGAAUAGGGGUGAGACAUGAGACAAAUAUAGAAUAGUAGAGAAUAACAAAUUAUAAUAUUAAGAGAUAAAUAGAAUAAUAGAAUCCAAAGAAAUAUCCAUACAAUAUGUGAUAAAACAAGAGUAACAUAGAAGGUAAGGGAAGAGAACAUUUCAAGGUGAGAGCAAUCAAUAGUUUGAAAAUAGAAAGACGUCUCAUGCAUCAAAAACGGAGGUGUUUCCAUUGCAUUUAGCAAAAAUGAAGAUUUGGCAAGAGCAAUCUUGUGCAGACUGAAGAAUCCAGACUGCAAAUAGUUAAGAAAUAGUGGGAGGGCUGGCGCCGCGGCUCACUAGGCUAAUCCUCCACCUUGCCGCGCUGGCACACCAGGUUCUAGUCCCGGUCAGGGCGCCAGAUUCUGUCCCGGUUGCCCCUCUUCCAGGCCAGCUCUCUGCUGUGGCCCGGGAAGGCAGUGGAGGAUGGCCCAGGUGUUUGGGCCCUGCACCCCAUGGGAGACCAGUACCUGGCUAAGUACCUGGCUCCUGCCAUUGGAUCAGCACGGUGCACCGGCCGCAGCGCGCCAGCCGUGGCGGCCA